UGGAUAUGAAUAUGAUUAUGAAUAUGCAUCAGAAUAUGACCAUGAUGAAACCAGGAAACUUCGUGAACUGCUCCUUUUUCCUGGCUAUGCUGGAACUCAUACGGAGCACCACUAAUGAAACCCAGGGCCUUGUGACCUCCACGAACCCCUUUUGUCCUUUGCUUAGUUUUGCUGCAACUUUAGCCUGGGAGGCUAU